rnacentral:lncRNA from 10 species
UCCUUUUUAUCAUUGCAAUGUUCAGUCAGUCUGUAGCUAGCGCACCUUGCAAACACAGCCCUUAUCAUCUGAUAAAAAGAAAAGAGAAAACAGUAAAAAAGAGCAAUAGAAUAUAUUCCAUUUUUUUCUAUGUCUGUUAUUAGAUUUCUGCUUGUGGAAAUACACUGAUUUGCAAAAAUGCUUCUGGUGGCAAAGGUUACAUCAGCCUUACUAGGUCAAGAGGCCUAGAAGUCUGCUGGCCAGGUCAGCACAGCACCCUCUACUCACCAUGCAGGUGCUUAUGGAGGUUUAGGGAAGUGGAGUUCUGUAAGGGGAGGGGGCCUCCAGGGAUCAAGGCACUCACCGUUCAGAACUGCUCCAGAAUUAAUUUCCAUGGCCGGCAUCACUCCCAGGCUGUUUCCAAACUUGCCUGAUCAUAAGAACCAUCUGAGGGCUUGUUAAAAGUACUGAUUCAAAGC